CCUAACACAUGCAAGUCGAACGGUAACAGGAAACAGCUUGCUGUUUCGCUGACGAGUGGCGGACGGGUGAGUAAUGUCUGGGAAACUGCCUGAUGGAGGGGGAUAACUACUGGAAACGGUAGCUAAUACCGCAUAACGUCGCAAGACCAAAGAGGGGGACCUUCGGGCCUCUUGCCAUCAGAUGUGCCCAGAUGGGAUUAGCUAGUAGGUGGGGUAACGGCUCACCUAGGCGACGAUCCCUAGCUGGUCUGAGAGGAUGACCAGCCACACUGGAACUGAGACACGGUCCAGACUCCUACGGGAGGCAGCAGUGGGGAAUAUUGCACAAUGGGCGCAAGCCUGAUGCAGCCAUGCCGCGUGUAUGAAGAAGGCCUUCGGGU
rnacentral:rRNA from 1 species